rnacentral:rRNA from 1 species
GACGAACCGUGCAACCGUUAUUCGGAAUCACUGGGCAUAAAGGGCGCGUAGGCGGCUUUCUAAGUCAGGGGGGAAAUCCGGCAGCUCAACUGUCGCAGUGCCUUUGAUACUGGAGAGCUCGAGGGAGGUAGGGGUCUGUGGAACUUCCGGUGGAGCGGUGAAAUGCGUUGAUAUCGGAAGGAACGCCGGUGGCGAAAGCGACGGACUGGAUCUCUUCUGACGCUGAGGCGCGAAAGCCAGGGGAGCAAACGGG